rnacentral:rRNA from 1 species
CCUACGGGAGGCAGCAGUAAGGAAUAUUGGUCAAUGGACGAAAGUCUGAACCAGCCAUGCCGCGUGAAGGAUUAAGGCCCUCUGGGUUGUAAACUUCUUUUAUCUGGGACGAAAAAAGGGUAUUCUUACUCACUUGACGGUACCAGAGGAAUAAGCACCGGCUAACUCCGUGCCAGCAGCCGCGGUAAUACGGAGGGUGCAAGCGUUAUCCGGAUUUACUGGGUUUAAAGGGUGCGUAGGUGGGCUUGUAAGUCAGUGGUGAAAUCUCCGGGCUUAACCCGGAAACUGCCAUUGAUACUAUAGGUCUUGAAUUAUCUGGAGGUAAGCGGAAUGUGUCAUGCAGCGGUGAAAUGCUUAGAUAUGACAUAGAACACCAAUUGCGAAGGCAGCAUACUACGGAUAUAUUGACACUGAGGCACGAAAGCGUGGGGAUCAAACAGGAUUAGAUACCCUGGUAGUCCACGCCCUAAACGAUGGAUACUCGACAUACAGCGAUACACUGUUGGUUGUCUGAGACGAAGACGAUAAGUAGUACCACCGUACGGAAGGUACGAGUCGUCGAAGAGUUAGUAAACGUUAACGUUAAAGGUAAGUUAGGUUACGGCGUGAGACGCGACGACGACGACGACGGAGGGAGGAGG